ensembl:lncRNA
CCCAGAUGCACCUUUAAAAACCCUGUUUUUCCUUUCUGUAACUCAGUUUGAUACCUGAAAGUCUCCGUGCCACUUCAAAAUCCAAAAUUAAACCCCUAACGUCCUCAGUUGUGGUAGUCCAAGUGGUCUGGGGAGCAACAAGGGCCUUUAAUUACAGUGGUGCAGCAUUAUAAACAUUAUUAUAAUUUAAAUAAUAAUAAUUAUUAGCCUGUUCACAUGGACUGGUCACAUGACUCAAACACAUAACUUCUAAAUUAUGUUUACUUGAAUCUGCAAUUUGAUUAAAAACAUGUUCUGUGGGUGAAGAUCAGGAAUAAAAAGCUUUAUGGCUACAGUAUCAGAAAUAUUAGUGUGUACGCUUAAAUAACGAGUAUGAUAUUGAAAGUAGUUAAAUUGUGUCCUGGUGCAGGUCCGUGGAAGUUAUUUUGCAGUGUCCCUGGCUGCAAAAGGUUUGAGAAGCCCUGCGUAUAGAAAAAGAAAAGCGCUAAGCACACCAUCAGACACCUGGGGGCGCUGAUCACAAAGAUUUUAUGUGCAUUUCCUGUUCAUGUCUCCUCAAAAUAUACAAAAGUAAGGAGCAGGAAUUAAAGGAAAGAAUUCCAAAAGAAACACAACUUUGAGGGAACUUUUAUGAGAGGCUCCUGUGGCUGUGGAUAACCCGAGCUGGACAGAGUGGUGAGAGCUUGGGAUGGACUCUAGAGAUGGUGCUGAAUGCAGUUUAAACUCCACACAUGGUCCUGUGAACUCACUUCCUGUCUGUGUGUGCAUGCGUCCAUUCUUUUCACCACUAGGUGGCGAUACAUAAAAAAAGAACACUCCAACCUCCCCCCCCCCCCCCCGCGCCCCCCCCCCCCCACGCCCCCACCGGGAGAGAAAAGCAACAACAGCAACGAAAUAUCACUCAUCCUAUUUUUUGUGAAUGUUUAAGAUCCUCUGGAACUGUUACCGAAUGAGAUAAAAAUUUUAAAUCUCUUGGCCCUGCUGAAUUUUUUAUUUUGUAAAUGUUUUUUUUUUUUUUUGGCAAACUUCAUAAGAAAGCAGUGCAUAUGAUGAUAUUGAUUAGUACAGAUACAUGAAAACAUCUGUGAGUAUUUUCAGACUUGUUUAUGCAGAAAUUCAGGGGUAAC